UUAGCUCAGUUGGUAGAGCAUCUGACUGUAGUUUGCUUGAAAUCAGAUUGUCGCUAGUUCGAAUCUGGC
rnacentral:tRNA from 17 species